CCAACAGCUGAACCAAGGCAUCUCUAAGCAAAUAAGAGGGUAUAAAACCUAGUAAAGCCUGGCUUGGUCCCUGGCCACCACCGACUAUGAAGAGGAAUCUUUGGCUCAUGUGCAGGAAUAGGGUUUGGGAGAGGUGGCCCAUCCUGGUCCAUAACUAGUAACACGCCAUGAGGUUAUACUCGAAUAGGAGCAGGAUCUAUAGGCUCAGUCUCCAGACCCUCCUCACGCAUAGCUGUAGCACG
rnacentral:lncRNA from 1 species